rnacentral:rRNA from 1 species
GUAACACGUAUGCAACCUACCCUUUACUGGGGCAUAGCUCAGAGAAAUCUGAAUUAAUUCCCCAUAAUACAAUUGAAUGGCAUCAUUUGAUUAUUAAAGCUGAGGCGGUAAAGGAUGGGCAUGCGUUGCAUUAGCUAGUUGGUGAGGUAAUGGCUCACCAAGGCUACGAUGCAUAGGGGUUCUGAGAGGAUGAUCCCCCACACUGGUACUGAGACACGGACCAGACUCCUACGGGAGGCAGCAGUAGGGAAUAUUGGUCAAUGGACGCAAGUCUGAACCAGCCAUGCCGCGUGCAGGAAGACGGCCCUCUGGGUUGUAAACUGCUUUUAUAUGGGAAGAAACCUCAUUAUGCGUAAUGAACUGACGGUACCAUAUGAAUAAGGAUCGGCUAACUUCGUGCCAGCAGCCGCGGUAAGACGAAGGAUCCAAGCGUUGUCCGGAUUUACUGGGUUUAAAGGGUGCGUAGGCGGAAUUUUAAGUCAGUGGUGAAAGCCCUUCGCUCAACGAAGGAACUGCCAUUGAAACUGAAAUUCUUGAAUACGGUUGAGGUAGAUGGAAUAUAACAUGUAGCGGUGAAAUGCUUAGAUAUGUUAUAGAACACCGAUUGCGAAGGCAGUCUACUAAGCCGUGAUUGACGCUGAGGCA